rnacentral:rRNA from 1 species
UACGUAGGGGGCAAGCGUUGUCCGGAAUUAUUGGGCGUAAAGCGCGUGUAGGCGGUCCGGUAAGUCCGCUGUGAAAGUCGGGGGCUCAACCUUUGAAUGCCGCUGGAAACUGUCUGGCUAGAGUCCGGGAGGGGCGAGUGGAAUUCCUGGUGUAGCGGUGAAAUGCGCAGAUAUCAGGAGGAACACCAAUGGCGAAGGCAGCUCGCUGGAACGGUACUGACGCUGAGGCGCGAAAAGCGUGGGGGAGCAAACAGG